AUGGGACACUUUGGUCGUGAGAAGACUUAUGAGCUGUUGGCCGAUCACUUUUAUUGGCCAAAGAUGAGGAAGGACGUUGAGAGAUUUGUGCAGCGAUGCAUCAUAUGCCACAAAGCUAAGUCUAAACUGAACCCCCAUGGUUUAUAUACUCCCCUACCUGUUCCAAAUGCUCCUUGGGAAGAUAUUAGCAUGGAUUUUGUUUUAGGAUUGCCUAGGACUAAGAGGGGGAGGGAUUUAGUUUUUGUUGUGGUUGAUAGGUUCUCAAAAAUGGCACACUUCAUUCCGUGCCACAAGAACGACGAUGCUUCACAUGUUGCUGAUUUGUUUUUCAGGGAAGUUGUUCGCUUGCAUGGAAUGCCAAGGACUAUUGUUUCAGAUCGAGAUGUGAAGUUCAUGAGCUAA
rnacentral:rRNA from 1 species